GAUGAACGCUGGCGGCGUGCCUAAUACAUGCAAGUCGAGCGAACAGACGAGGAGCUUGCUCCUCUGACGUUAGCGGCGGACGGGUGAGUAACACGUGGAUAACCUACCUAUAAGACUGGGAUAACUUCGGGAAACCGGAGCUAAUACCGGAUAAUAUAUUGAACCGCAUGGUUCAAUAGUGAAAGACGGUUUUGCUGUCACUUAUAGAUGGAUCCGCGCCGCAUUAGCUAGUUGGUAAGGUAACGGCUUACCAAGGCAACGAUGCGUAGCCGACCUGAGAGGGUGAUCGGCCACACUGGAACUGAGACACGGUCCAGACUCCUACGGGAGGCAGCAGUAGGGAAUCUUCCGCAAAGGGCGAAAGCUUGACGGAGCAACGCCGCGUAAGUGAGGAAGGUCUUCGGAUCGUAAAACUCUGUUAUUAGGGAAGAACAAAUGUGUAAGUAACUAUGCACGUCUUGACGGUACCUAAUCAGAAAGCAACGGCUAACUACGUG
rnacentral:rRNA from 1 species